rnacentral:rRNA from 1 species
GUCGAGCGGUAACAGGUGUAGCAAUACAUGCUGACGAGCGGCGAACGGGUGAGUAAUGCUUCGGAAUCUACCCUAUGGUGGGGAAUAACCAGCCGAAAGGUUGGCUAAUACCGCAUAAGUCCUACGGGAGAAAGCAGGGGAUCGUAAGACCUUGCGCCGAUGGAUGAGCCGAAGUCGGAUUAGCUAGUUGGUGAGGUAACGGCUCACCAAGGCGACGAUCCGUAGCUGGUCUGAGAGGACGACCAGCCACACUGGGACUGAGACACGGCCCAGACUCCUACGGGAGGCAGCAGUGGGGAAUAUUGGACAAUGGGGGCAACCCUGAUCCAGCGACGCCGCGUGUGUGAAGAAGGCCUGCGGGUUGUAAAGCACUUUUAGUGGGGAUGAAAUGUGCAGGGUUAACACCUCUGCAUUUUGACCUAACCCACAGAAAAAGCACCGGCUAACUCUGUGCCAGCAGCCGCGGUAAUACAGAGGGUGCAAGCGUUAAUCGGAAUUACUGGGCGUAAAGCGUGCGCAGACGGUUCGAUAAGUCGGGUGUGAAAGCCCCGGGCUCAACCUGGGAAUUGCAUUCGAGACUGUCGAGCUAGGGUGCGGAAGAGGGAAGCGGAAUUUCCGGUGUAGCGGUGAAAUGCGUAGAUAUCGGAAGGAACACCAGUGGCGAAAGCGGCUUCCUGGUCCAGCACCGACGUUCAGGCACG